ACCUUCGUGGUGUAAUGGUCAGCACACUCGGCGCGUAUUCGAGAGGUCCGAGGUUCGAGUCCCGGCGAGGGCA
rnacentral:tRNA from 1 species